GUUUUAUCACACAGACCUGGCAACCCUGGACGUAAACCGCUGGAUCUCAGCAAGUCAAGACGCUGAAGACUGUUAACGGUUGAGCUCUGUCAGGUGUAAAGGGUUUGAGUUCAAAGCGUCAGCUAAAUCGGUGAUGCCAUCCAUUGUAACGCUGCAACUGGACAACCUGAAGAGAAGACAGCAUGAUAGUUUACAUUGAGGAUUCUUCAGUCCGCUUGAGAGCAGCUUCACUCCUGAAUCUCCAAGAUUAUUCUCAGACAGAUCCAGCUCUAUCAGACUGGAGGUAUUUGACCUCAGAGCUGAAGCCACAGCAGCACAACCUUCAGCUGUGAUUCCACAUUUAUUCAACCUGAGAGAAAAUUGUCCCUGUAACGUCCUGUGGUUCUCCUGCUGUGAUACAGUAAUCCUGUUAGAGUCAACAUGCAGCCAGGCGUACUGCAAUGUGCCAUGACAUGAAGAAAUCAUGAUUGAAAUUCCAGACUAAGACGACAAAAUAUUCAUAUAUAAG